CUAAAAACAAUCGACAUAGUUGCUGUUUCGCAGUGACAUUCGUCGGAAAUUGGGUCGUCUUAAAUCUUUUGGUUUUUAAGCGACUUAAAAUUUUCUUUACGAUUCCACGAACGUUUCUAAGAUUUAUUUCUUACACGUUUAAGGUAAUCGAUCUUUAUUAGACGUGACCGUCGCAUCGGAUCGCGUCCAUAAAUAUUUCGUU
rnacentral:misc_RNA from 1 species